GAUGAACGCUGGCGGCGUGCCUAAUACAUGCAAGUCGAGCGAACAGACGAGGAGCUUGCUCCUCUGACGUUAGCGGCGGACGGGUGAGUAACACGUGGAUAACCUACCUAUAAGACUUGGAUAACUUCGGGAAACCGGAGCUAAUACCGGAUAAUAUAUUGAACCGCAUGGUUCAAUAGUGAAAGACGGUUUUGCUGUCACUUAUAGAUGGAUCCGCGCCGCAUUAGCUAGUUGGUAAGGUAACGGCUUACCAAGGCAACGAUGCGUAGCCGACCUGGGAGGGUGAUCGGCCACACUGGAACUGAGACACGGUCCAGACUCCUACGGGAGGCAGCAGUAGGGAAUCUUCCGCAAUGGGCGAAAGCCUGACGGAGCAACGCCGCGUGAGUGAUGAAGGUCUUCGGAUCGUAAAACUCUGUUAUUAGGGAAGAACAAAUGUGUAAGUAACUAUGCACGUCUUGACGGUACCUAAUCAGAAAGCCACGGCUAACUACGUG
rnacentral:rRNA from 1 species